ACUCACCCGGGCUGUGCCCGUGGCCCCGCUACGCCGAGUGCACGUGAACGCGCGUCGCGCUCGUUUCUAAUUUUGGCUCCGGCGGCCCCAGCGGGGUCGAGCGAGGUAAAGGCGGGCCGAGGAGACCCCGGGGCCGGGAGCGCGGUUCUCCAGGUCUCUUGCUGCCCCGCCGUCUGGCCCCCUGGAGGACGGGUCGCGGCCGGAGCUCUGGAACGCCAACGCUUCCACUGGCCAGGCCGAAGCGUCUCCUCCGCGUGCCAGCCCAGCCUUGAGCUCAGCGUGGGCGCCCCAUAAGCGAAUGGGGGUUCCCACCUGGAUGCGACUCGGGGCUUCCCAGAGAGGGCCAGGGUUCUGGAAAGUUCCCUGGUGGAAGGAGUGCCGUGGGGGCUGAAGUCGGAACAGGAGCGGGGCUCGGCGAGGGCUCGGGCGGGCGGUGUGGACGGAGCCCGUCGGGGCGUCGGCCCUCGGUGACCUCCGUGGGGCGGUGGCCCAGCCUCUGUGAGCGGGGCCCUGGCUCGGCCCGCGUCGCCAACAGCGGGUGGGGGGUGGCCGGGCCCCCACUGAGCCCCGUGUCUGAGCCACGGGCAGUGGGAGGGACGGUGCCCUCGGUGGUGUGAAGGGCAGUGGCCGUCCAGGGGGCGGGCUAAGCACAGAGGCCUCGAAGUCACCGGUUGAGGAGCCAGCGCCCAGCGCAGAAACCCAGGCUCUCCAUCCCGAGCCCCACGGGAGUACCGAGGUGACCUUCCAGGAAUCAGAUAAAAACUUCGUUUUGAAGAAGGCGGUGCCAGACACCUUGUGAAAUCGACACUCUCCCCUUUGUGGGGAGGAAGUUCUGGAAAGAAGCUCUGUCAGCGUAAAGUGAACUGCAGUUUUGGCUUUGCAGAGUGGUCUGCCGUGUCACAGUGACCUGCAUUCUGCUGUUGGUGUAGCAUCUUCAGGUUUCACAGGGAUUGUCUCUGAAGCUACUGGAGGGGGUGCUCUAUCAAAAUGAGGGAAUAAACCAAGAGGAAGCCAAGAGGUGCUGGAACCAGAAACUCCAACUACUGUUAUAAAGGAAUAGAGAGCGGUUCCCGGCCACAGGACACGUCUCUCCUGGCCCACGGUGAGUGUCACAGGGCCGCCACAGUGAGCAUCAGGGACGCCAGCCUGAGGCUCUGCCCUGGGAGAAACCCCCCCAUCGUCUCCUCCGGCAGUGCUCAUAGUGCGUACAUAAGCGAACAUCUAUUAAAUGAGUGGUGGGCAACCCACGAAAGGACUCCAGGACCUGCUCUCAACUGGCAGGGCCCUCUGUGAGCUGCAGCGAGGCACUGCUCCUCUCUGGACCUUGGUUCCCCCAGCUGUCAGGUGAGAUGGCCUCGAAGGCACAGGGAGCCCUACAGAGAGGGGCACAGGUCUCCAGCUUCCUGAGUGACUUCAGUAAGUAAAUACAUCUCUCUAAGCCUCAGUUUCCUUCUUUGUAAAAUGGAACAAUAAUACUGCAGAACCUGAGCAGAACCUCAUAACUAGGAUCCCAAGAAUUCAACUGCACAAAACUUGGAGUCUCACUACGGUAAGGAUAAAAGAAGAGAUAGGGCACUUGGAGCUAACUGCAUUGUGUCUAUUCAAUUAUCAUGAGGUGUUAU